GUUGAUAAGGUUAAGUGAAUAAGGGCGCACGGUGGAUGCCUUGGCACUAGGAGCCGAUGAAGGACGGGACUAACACCGAUAUGCUUUGGGGAGCUGUAAGUAAGCUAUGAUCCAGAGAUUUCCGAAUGGGGGAACCCAAUAUCUUUUAUAGGAUAUUACUUUUCAGUGAAUACAUAGCUGAUUAGAGGUAGACGCAGAGAACUGAAACAUCUUAGUACCUGCAGGAAGAGAAAGAAAAUUCGAUUCCCUGAGUAGCGGCGAGCGAAACGGGAAGAGCCCAAACCAACAAGCUUGCUUGUUGGGGUUGUAGGACUCCAAUAUGGUAGUCUGUUAGUAUAGUUGAAGGAUUUGGAAAAUUCCGCUAAAGAGGGUGAAAGCCCCGUAGACGAAAUGCUGACAACACCUAGGAGGAUCCUGAGUACGGCGGAACACGAGAAAUUCCGUCGGAAUCCGCGGGGACCAUCCCGCAAGGCUAAAUACUCCCUAGUGACCGAUAGUGAACCAGUACCGUGAGGGAAAGGUGAAAAGCACCCCGGAAGGGGAGUGAAAUAGAUCCUGAAACCGUGUGCCUACAACAAGUCAAAGCUCGUUAAUGAGUGAUGGCGUGCCUUUUGUAGAAUGAACCGGCGAGUUACGAUUGCAUGCGAGGUUAAGUCGAAGAGACGGAGCCGCAGCGAAAGCGAGUCUGAAUAGGGCGAAUGAGUAUGUAGUCGUAGACCCGAAACCAUGUGAUCUACCCAUGUCCAGGUUGAAGGUGCGGUAAAACGCACUGGAGGACCGAACCCACGUACGUUGAAAAGUGCGGGGAUGAGGUGUGGGUAGCGGAGAAAUUCCAAACGAACUUGGAGAUAGCUGGUUCUCUCCGAAAUAGCUUUAGGGCUAGCCUCGGAAUUGAGAAUGAUGGAGGUAGAGCACUGUUUGGACUAGGGGCCCAUCUCGGGUUACCGAAUUCAGAUAAACUCCGAAUGCCAUUCAUUUAUAUCCGGGAGUCAGACUGCGAGUGAUAAGAUCCGUAGUCGAAAGGGAAACAGCCCAGACCACCAGCUAAGGUCCCAAAAUAUAUGUUAAGUGGAAAAGGAUGUGGGGUUGCACAGACAACUAGGAUGUUGGCUUAGAAGCAGCCACCAUUUAAAGAGUGCGUAAUAGCUCACUAGUCGAGUGACCCUGCGCCGAAAAUGUACCGGGGCUAAACAUAUUACCGAAGCUGUGGACUACACCAUUAGGUGUAGUGGUAGGAGAGCGUUCUAAGGGCGUUGAAGGUCGAUCGUGAGGACGGCUGGAGCGCUUAGAAGUGAGAAUGCCGGUAUGAGUAGCGAAAGACAGGUGAGAAUCCUGUCCACCGUAUGACUAAGGUUUCCUGGGGAAGGCUCGUCCGCCCAGGGUUAGUCGGGACCUAAGCCGAGGCCGAUAGGCGUAGGCGAUGGACAACAGGUUGAUAUUCCUGUACCAGUUGUUUUUGUUUGA
rnacentral:rRNA from 1 species